rnacentral:lncRNA from 10 species
CAGCAGCUCAUUCGGUUUCAAGUACAUUUGAAACGGCAAUUGUUUCACCAUGAUAGCUACUGUAUGUCCGAUGCACCACACUUCCGAAUAAUAAGGAAAUCAUUCAGUUGUUUGCUGAACAGGCUGGCUUGUCCAUGAGCAGUCUGGCCGGCAGAAGCCUCAGGGAUCCCAGAGAGAAGCAGUUGUUUCCUGAUUGGCAUUUCAUCUAAGUACUAAGGACAUCCACCGAAGAGAAGUUGCUGGAUUUCACCUCCAUGGGCAGCUGGAGUCACCACCACAAUGGAGAGACAUUGGGCAAAAGCAGAUUCACAACACGGAGUGUGAAGAAGGAACUCGUGCCAGCCAGACGCCCCAUGCCUUCUCUCAGUCAUCACUGUCCAGCAAGCAGAACCCAUAUCCGAAUCAGUUUUUUUUUCAAUUUUUACUUUUUUAGAAAACAGUAACAGCAAUAGCAGGAGGUUCAAAGGAAGUGAAGAAGAGUGUGAGGGUAUGGUUUCCCUGGAGAUUGUUUCACAAACAAGUAUACCUGAUGCAAGAGCUGCAGUCACCUACAGGCGUCUUCUCUGACAGCUGAUAGAGCCAUUCUGGUGAAGUUAAUUCCGAAGAAAGAAGCCCAAUGUACUGCCAUAUUAGAAAACAUUCCCAAAGCUUACCGUUACCAGCUAAUGCAGGGACGUGUCAAAAGGCCUUUGUUUAGCAGUCAAUCUACAGAUGACAUUUCAAUGAAAACCGACAUAUUCAGAAUUUAAUUUGUCUCCACGUACGGGUGAGGGUUCGUCAGAGAACAUUUUUUCUCCUUCAAAUACCAUAGAUGAUUGCCUCAGAGGAAGGCCCCAGGCGGAACUCCAUGGCUAUGGACACUGCUAUUAACAAUUAAUUAAUAGAAUAUUCAGGCCAAAGAGACCUUUGAACUCACUGAGCCCAGCCUUGUCAAAUUAUGGAGGAGAAAAAUGAGGCCCAGAGAGGUUAACUGAUGAAUCCAAAGUCAGUGAUAAAUGGGACCAGAAGCCAAGUUUCACGCACAGGAAGGACACAUGGAGUGCAUCUUGGCUACAACAUAUGGUGCUGAAACAGCAAGCUGAUAAGUCUUUAGCAGUACUUGACAGUGGUAAGAGAUCAAUUAUUGUCACAUAAAUAUUAAAAAGCUCCCCUAGUACUUUGUUGUAAUGAGUAAAUUUAACCAUGAUAACUACCUCCCUGUUAAUAGCAACCAAAUUUGCCUAGGAAACAAAGUGUCACUCCAUUAGGUGUUCAAUUAAAUGCUCAGUUGGUCCGAGGCUGUGUUGCUGCUGUUCCUAUUGCUGCUGCUUCCAUCUGCAAUGAAAGCGAAAACAUGAAAUAAGUACCCAUUACCUUCCCUGGGGACCAUGAUUUUUCCAUCCUGCAGGUGAUAGAAACUUUCUGAAGACUGCCAAAUGUGGGUUUUGUCGGGGAAACUCUGACUUUGUCUUAAUUUUUUGAGGAGAUUGGAUCUGGCCCUAGAAUCAAGAACACACACUCUUUUGCUCCUGAGGUUUCAAAAGUUCUUCUCUAGCAGACUCUAGCAAUCAAUCCACCAGCAGGCAUUCACUGAUUGCCAACCUGAUAGUUAGCUCAAGUCCCUACUCCCCAAGGCACGGACUUCUCCUGGGCAGGCUUGGGGAAGGGGUGAAGAAAAAAGAAGCAUUUGCCAGGAGGCUGAAAAUUCCCCGAUUCAGAUGCUUACCCAAUGUCUCAUGAUUCUGUCUGUGGUCUGGAGAGCUCAGUGCAUUAAUUCUAAUUCGAGCCACUGGGAAAUAACUUCCCAUUUCUCCACAGUUAGAACGGUGAAGCAGUCCCUUAAAACUGAGUACAACUCCCCUGAUACGAGUUGUAAUUAAGGUUACAGUGCAUUUCUAAGACACCAAAGCUCCAAAGAGAAUAAUAUCAGCUUGUAAAAUCAAAAAGAAAAAUGUUUUCAUUAUUUGAGAGUGUGUGCAGUUGUGCACAGGAUAGGUGGGAAGAUGUUCAAAGCACCAAGACCUUCUCAACCUCAAUGAGAAAUAAAUACCAACACACAUAGUUAUAGAAAGUAUAUUUAUAUGACACAAUAACAACCUUUGGCUGUAAGGUCAAGAGAAGGAAGUUCAAUCUCUGGAAUGAACAGGAGGGAGCAAAGCAGAGUGUUUAAUGGUUAAGAGCAUUUACCUUAGAGCCAGCCCACCUGAGUUCAAAUUCUAGAUCUACUACUUACUUGAGCAAAUUACUUACCCUUUUUGUGACUCGGUUUCUUCGUCUGGAAAUGGGGAUAAUAGUAGUGUAUACCUUGUAAGGUUGUUUUGAAAAAUAAGUGAAUUAAGUUUUAAAAUUUUAAUUCAAUUUAAAUUUGAAAUCCUUUUAAUCCUCAAUUGUAGAAUUCAUUUUACUGCAAAUUUAUCUUCAAGAAACAGCAGUUCCCACCACUUUGGAGUCCCCCAGUCUGCCUCUGCAUUUCUCUGGCUAGAAAAACUCAAAGACUUUUGAGCAAAGAUUCAGCUUUCGCGAAGUACUAGGUAUUUCAAGAAGGGAUGAAGGUGAGUCUCUUGAAAAGGCAAGCCCUCACCCUCAUACGCAAUGGGCGGUAGAGUGUAGCUACAGAUCAGUACUGAAUGUUUGCGCAGUGGACCCAGACCAUUGCUCUGGCUGGGAGCAGUUUCUCAGGGAGCUCUCUCCUGAGGAGCCAGCCUACACGGGCUGGCAGAGUUACGGAGAGACUAUUCAUUUCGGGAGUGUUAUUAAUUGUUUUGACACCUGCCUCUGGCAUCUGUACCUCUUGUGUAAAUAAAUAAUUGGCUGGGGCCAGAGCACUGCCUGCUCUGAGAUGAUUGGAAGAAGUGCGGCUCUGGGAAACUGCCUGUGCUAUUUGCAACAGUACCUCCACAUUCAAAACACAUUUUUCUCCCUGUCCCCACUACCCCAUUCUUUUUUUUUUAAUGGAAAAAAAAGAAACCUAUCUUUUCUUCAUAUUCUCAUCCCAGCUGGUGUUUAUUUCCUCUCUCUUUUCCUUCCCCCUCACCCCACUUGGGGAAAAAACGAAAGAAGCCCUGGUUUCUAGGCAGUUAAAAUAAUGUCUUGUUCUGUGGUAAAGUUAACAAUUUUGGUAGGAGGAGAUGGAAAGGAAGGAGGGUUCGGUGAAACCACUGGACUGAAUGCAACCUCCCUGCCCCUUCUGCCCACGUUUGGAUUGCUUGUCUUUCUGUAUUUUAUCUCAUUUUGAGCACAUGCCCUCAGAGGUCAGGGAUAUGGCUUCCUUUACACUGUGACAAGGUCCUAACAUCAUCACAGUCAUAACAGCUAACAUUUGCAGAGUGUUGCCUAUAUGCCAAUCACGUAGAUCAGCACUGUAGACACUCUACCUUCUUUAAUUUUCAUGUCAGCCCUGGAGGAUCGGUACUCAUGAUCCCUCUAUGGCAGAUGCAGAAACUGAAUCCCACAGAGGUGCAGUGAGCUGCCUAAGGUCACACACUGAGUAAGAGGAGGAGGCUGCAAAACAUACAGGGUAAUCAAGUCUCAGACUUACCGGUUUAGUUGUCCUUAGGUCACAUUUGAGCUCAUUAUGAGUACAAGCCUUCAGAGGGCAGGGUUACAGCUACUCUUCCACUAGUCACUAGCUUAUUCAAAGUGGCCAAUCCACAUAAAAUGAUCCUCAUGCUUGGGAACAGCAGCCCUAAUCUUUAGAGUUUCUUUAAUGGGUUUAGAAAAGGCCAUUAAUUCUGAGAAAGUCAUUCUCUUGCCGUGUGCCUGACAAGUGAGAGGUGAGCUAUAUGCCUGACAGGAUCAUUCUCAGUCAAAGAACAGCCCUUUGUAUGGAAGUAUUCUCAAAUUCCCCCCAACAUAAAGUGAAGAGAAACAUAAUAGAGCAAAUUUCUGAAGCUAUUUUUUAAAAAAUGGGGAGAGUAAAUUUAGUGCUCAUGAGAGUGAGGAACUCAACAGGAUGAUCUGGAGCAGACCACUGAGUUUCACAACUCACACUCUGCCAAUCUCCUCCGUAAAUACCCGGGCUAUUCCAGGCCUGCUUCCUCUCUGGAGCAGAUGCCACCAGUCUCAGAACAUCAUGGGGGUAGAGAUGUAAUAGGCAAAAGAGGCAAAAGACCAUGUGGUGACACCAUUGCACAUUCAUUUAGUGCUUCAGAAUGUGCAAAGUGGCAUCGCCUACACGAUCUCAUUUGUUCCCCUUA